GACCCCGCAACGCCCCGGGUCAGCCCGGCACACUCCCCUCCUGAAAAUGGGCUGGACAAGGCCCGUAGCCUGAAAAAAGAUGCCCCCACCAGCCCUGCCUCGGUGGCCUCUUCCAGUAGCACACCUUCCUCCAAGACCAAAGACCUUGGUCAUAACGACAAAUCCUCCACCCCUGGGCUCAAGUCCAACACACCAACCCCAAGGAACGACGCCCCAACUCCAGGCACCAGCACGACCCCAGGGCUCAGGUCGAUGCCGGGUAAACCUCCGGGCAUGGACCCGAUAGGUAUAAUGGGUAGGCACCAUGGGCUGGGUUAAUCUGAUUGGGGGGAGGGGGUCUGCUCUUGGCCAGGG
rnacentral:ncRNA from 2 species